rnacentral:lncRNA from 1 species
GCCACCUUUUUUGUUCCGGAGAAAAAGCUUUGAGAAAGAGCUGAGUAUCUUCCUGUGAACUACUUCCAGUAUAUGUUGGUCUAAUAAUUCUUGUAUCACUUUCGUCAUGGCCGGUGACGCCUUGGUUGCAUAUUGACGCAUUAUUGUUUCUGUGGGCAUUGAAAGAAGAGGUUUCUUGUAUAAGGGUAUUCGAAAGCCCGUUAUUAUUGAAGUUAAAAACUGUUCGCGCCCAGAACUUGCCACCGAUUUUUGAAAGUAACUCUGAAGUUUAUCGGAUAUUAUUAUUAUUAUUAUUUGCUUCCUUAGUUGUAUUAUGUUUUGCUUGUUAGCACUCUCUUUUACCCUUGUAUAUUUGCUUUGUCUUUUGUUGCUUAUAGGUGUCGUGUAAGUUAUUUUUACUUUGUGACUGUACCCAUAAAUGUAUGUUCUUUGUAUUUUCUCUUCAGCUGUUUUCUAUUGUUAGAAGAUUGCGGAGGUGAUAGCCAGAAAUGUGGGCCACCAAGAGAAUAAGCGCAUACCAAUUUUGUUUUAUCAAAUGAGAACACUCCACUAGGGGUAUAUUGCAAAGGGCCGCUUGGAUAAUUUUAUCCAGAAUUUAUUAUCAUAACUAUUGCACCUUGAUUCUAUACAUUCGGCUCUUUUAUCGCAAACAAUUAUAUGUAAACUUUGUUCGGAUAACUUGUAAGACAAAGACGAUUUUCCAUAAGUUUUAGUAAAUUUAUUAAAGAGGGUAUCGAUAUUUAGGUA